AACAUUGGGAGGCCUUGAUCUCUUUUCCCCUCAAGGUUCUACGCAAGCAAGCGUCUCUUAGUCUAACUGUCCACUUAUUCUCAAUGGUUUCCCUUCUUCCCACCUUUCAGGGGGAGUUUUCAUUGUGUUUUGAAUGAAUAUAGUUAAUAUAUGCACUCCACCAAGGGCCCUUGCUUGUAAAAUAACUCUGAGAUUCCCCAUUAUUUUCAAAUUUUUCUUUUCCUUUCA
rnacentral:sRNA from 1 species